rnacentral:rRNA from 1 species
UUCGGAAAUAACAGUGGAGAAAUUACUGCAUAAUACCGGAUGAUGUCUUCGGACCAAAGAUUUAUUGCCCAAGGAUGAGCCCGCGUAGGAUUAGCUAGUUGGUGGGGUAAUGGCCUACCAAGGCGACGAUCCUUAGCUGGUCUGAGAGGAUGAUCAGCCACACUGGGACUGAGACACGGCCCAGACUCCUACGGGAGGCAGCAGUGAGGAAUAUUGGACAAUGGGCGAAAGCCUGAUCCAGCAAUGCCGCGUGAGUGAUGAAGGCCUUAGGGUUGUAAAGCUCUUUUACCAGGGAUGAUAAUGACAGUACCUGGAGAAUAAGCUCCGGCUAACUCCGUGCCAGCAGCCGCGGUAAUACGGAGGGAGCUAGCGUUGUUCGGAAUUACUGGGCGUAAAGCGCGCGUAGGCGGUUACUCAAGUCAGAGGUGAAAGCCCGGGGCUCACACCCCGGAAUCUGCCUUUGAAACUAGGGUGACUAGAAUCUUGGAGAGGUCAGUGGAAUUCCGAUGUGUAGACGGUGAAAUUCGUAGAUAUUCGGAA